GUCUUCUCAACAUACAAAUCUCACACAACAUUCAAGGCCUUGAUAGGAAUUGCCCCCCACGGCCCCAUAACGUUUAUCUCUGCAUUGUAUGCUGGCUCUAUGAGCGACCAAGAGAUCUUCAAGAUAUAUUACUAACCUCCUCACAGCAGACACAGCCAUUAUGGUGGACAAAGGUUUUGUGGUGGACUCUCUCGUUCCCUGCAAGGUCUACCGACCCGCCUUUCUGUUGAAGAAUGCCCAAAUGUGUAGGGAGGAUGUCCAGCAGACGCAGUCCAUUGCCCACUUGAGAGUCCACGUUGAGAGGUGUAUCCGGAGGGUCAAAUAAAACAAGCUGUUCAGCCAGGUCAUACCGCUGUCUGUGUGUGAAAGUAUUGAUCAGCUGUUCAAUGUAGCUUGCAUCCUGGUGAACUACCAGAAUGGACCACUGGUGAAGGCCUGGGCAGGAGAGAGACGCCCUCAGGAGCGAACCCACGCUGACCUCACAAGCAUCCAGGACCAGGAGGACCAUCAGCCCACAGCCAGCCACACAGACCUCUGUCACCAGGACCAGGAGGACCAUCA